ensembl:misc_RNA Metazoa_SRP Metazoan signal recognition particle RNA
GCUGGGUGUGGUGGUGGGCACCUGUAAUCCCAGCUACUCGGGAGGCUGAGGCGGGAGAAUCGCUUGAACCCAGGAGACGGAGGUUGCAGUGAGCUGAGAUUGCCCCACUGCACUCCAGCCUGGGUGACAGAGUGAGACUCUGUCUCAA